AUUGAACGCUGGCGGCAAGCCUAACACAUGCAAGUCGAACGAGUGGCGGACGGGUGAGUAAUGUCUGGGAAACUGCCCGAUGGAGGGGGAUAACUACUGGAAACGGUCGCUAAUACCGCAUACCAUCGGAUGUGCCCAGGUGGGAUUAGCUAGUAGGUGGGGUAACGGCUCACCUAGGCGACGCUCCCUAGCUGGUCUGAGAGGAUGACCGGCCACACUGAAACUUAGACACGGUCCAGACUCCUACGAUAGGCAGCAGUGGUGAAUAUUGCACAAUGGGCGCAAGCCGGAUGCAGCCAUGCCGCGUGUAUGGAGAGGGCCUUCGGGUUGUAAAGUACUUUCAGCGAGGAGGCGUUACUCGCAGAAGAAGCACCGGCUAACUCCGUGACAGCAGCCGCGGUAAUAC
rnacentral:rRNA from 1 species